CCAAUAGCGUAUAUUAAAGUUGUUGCAGUUAAAAAGCUCGUAGUUGAAUUUCGGGGUUAGUAGGUUGGUCAUGCCUCUGGUAUGUACUGGUCUCACUGAUUCCUCCUUCCUGAUGAGCCGUAAUGCCAUUAAUUUGGUGUUGCGGGGAAUUUGGACUGUUACUUUGAAAAAAUUAGAGUGUUUAAAGCAAGCUAACGCUUGAAUACAUUAGCAUGGAAUAAUGAAAUAGGACGUUCGAUCCUAUUUUGUUGGUUUCUAGGAUUGACGUAAUGAUUAAUAGGGAUAGUUGGGGGCAUUAGUAUUCAAUUGUCAGAGGUGAAAUUCUUGGAUUUAUUGAAGACUAACUACUGCGAAAGCAUUUGCCAAGGAUGUUUUCAUUGAUCAAGAACGAAAGUUAGGGGAUCGAAGACGAUCAGAUACCGUCGUAGUCUUAACCAUAAACUAUGCCGACUAGGGAUCGGAUGAUGUUAAUUUUUUAAUGACUCAUUCGGCGCCUUACG
rnacentral:rRNA from 1 species